CCGUCUGUCACAAAUUACUCCUGACACUCAAUCCAUUCCACCCUACCUGCACUUUCUUUUUCAUGCUACAUAAUGAAUUCAAUGCUACAUAAUUGAUUUGCAGAAAUAUAUAAUAUUUAAUAAUCUGUAUUGCUGUGCCUUGUAGCAUGGAAAAUGUGGUUCUCACAAAGGCACAGCCCUGUCAGGUACUGUAUGUAGUGAAAUGAUUCUUACGAGCUCAAACACAACAAAUGCCUUAAAGGUAAGGAUUCUCUUUUUCCUUUUCGAUAUCAUUCAGUCAUCAAUUAGUCUAGAAUUGAGUGACUGCUUACUUCAGGUAAACACUUUAAAUUAUGUAUAACCUUUUACAUGUAGCAUUUCUAUUGCAGUGUGUUUAGGUGAAUGUUUUAGUAGUUUUUAAAGUAUGCUUACUAAAUUGGGAACAAUUAAACUACAUAUUAUUUGAAAUGAUGAAUUUGGCCUUCACAACUGACUAUAUUGUGGUAAUUGGACUAUUUGUGUCUUUCAGGUACUCACUUAAGUAAAAUACCUGUAGACGUACAGAUUGAAUUGAAAUGGGUCUUGCAGCAAUGUAUUAGUAAAUAAAAAUGUAUGCUUUUUUCACUUCAGAGCACUUAGUCAUUUUGAAUUAUUUGUGCACUUUCUGAAUGAUUUCUAACUAGACAUGACGUUCCAUUGAAGAUGAACUGCUUUGGUUGUAAACUGGAGUUUAUUUUUUCUUUUUUACUCCACCUCAUGAAUACAGGGAGUGCAGCAGAGGCAAAAAGCAAGAGAAAUCAAUAGAGCUAAGCAUUUAUAUGACAUGCUGUGGUCAUAUUGGUGUGUUCAUAAGCCAAUUUGACUGUAGUUUGAGUGAACGUGGAGAUAAUGUGUUGGUAUUCCUAAUACAAUACUUCACACUCUGUAUUGUUUUCUUUUUCACAAAAAAAGUCUCAUUCAUCAAAAACAUCCUGACUGCUUGUGACCGACUUGUUGGGACAGAAUUCAGGCCAAGAAUUCUGGAUAUGGACAAGGAUGAAGUAACACACACAACUGGAAAAUUAGACGAAAGUGGAGACGAUGAAGAUAUUGAAGAAGUCAUGUCCUCCUUGUUAUUUACUUUUGACUGCAUGAAGGAUAUGCUCUCAUAUUUUGAUGAAAUACAGGGUUUGGGCAUUUAACAUGAUGUGAACAUUUUUGGAAUGUUGGAGAAAACCUAUGACAGUGACUGGCUAGCAUCAUAGCAUGGGUACAUUGAAUUGUGGGAUAUCAGAGCAAACAAUUCACCACCAUCAAUCACUUUCCUUAAGUUUUCCUGAUGGACAUCAUCAAAUGAAGACAAUGCAGUUGCUGAGUCAACCUAUGCACCUGUGUAUACAUUUUGAGUAAUAUUUUUCAAGUUCAGGAGCUGUUCAAAGUGGGAUGCUGUUCUUUAUUUUUUCUGCGGCGUAAUUAAUCUUUUAUUCUAUACAAUUUUCA